rnacentral:lncRNA from 1 species
GGCAUGACCACCCCAGCCACAGUGGGCGGGAAGGCCUUCCUCAUCGCCUACGGACUGUUCGGCUGCGCGGGGACCAUCCUGUUCUUCAACCUCUUUCUGGAGCGCAUCAUCUCGCUGCUGGCCUUCAUCAUGCGCGCCUGCCGGGAGCGUCAGCUGCGCCGCAGUGGCCUGCUGCCCGCCACCUUCCGCCGCGGCUCGGCGCUGUCGGAGGCCGACAGCCUGGCGGGCUGGAAGCCCUCGGUGUAUCACGUGCUGCUCAUCCUGGGCCUGUUCGCCGUGCUGCUGGCCUGCUGCGCCUCGGCCAUGUACACCAGCGUGGAGGGCUGGGACUACGUGGACUCGCUCUACUUCUGCUUCGUCACCUUCAGCACCAUCGGCUUCGGGGACCUGGUGAGCAGCCAGCACGCCGCCUACCGGAACCAGGGGCUCUACCGUCUGGGCAACUUCCUCUUCAUCCUGCUCGGCGUGUGCUGCAUCUACUCGCUCUUCAACGUCAUCUCCAUCCUCAUCAAGCAGGUGCUCAACUGGAUGCUGCGCAAGCUGAGCUGCCGCUGCUGCACGCGCUGCUGCCCGGCUCCCGGCGCGCCCCUGUCCCGGCGCAACGCCAUCACCCCGGGCUCCCGGCUGCGCCGUCGCCUGGCCGCGCUGGGUACCGACCCCGCGGCUCGCGACAGCGACGCCGAGGGCCGCCGCCUGUCGGGAGAGCUCAUCUCAAUGCGCGACCUCACGGCGUCCAACAAGGUGUCGCUGGCACUGCUGCAGAAGCAGCUUUCCGAGACGGCCAACGGCUACCCGCGCAGCGUGUGCGUCAACACGCGCCAGAACGGCUUCUCGGGCGGCGUGGGCGCGCUGGGCAUCAUGAACAACCGGCUGGCAGAGACCAGCGCCUCCAGGUAGAGCGGCCG